GUGAAUCAUCGAAUUUUUGAACGCAAAUUGCACUCUCUGGUAUUCCGGGGAGUAUGCCUGUUUGAGGGUCAGUUUAAAUUAAAACUCGAGGUUUUGCUUUUUUUUGUGACGCAUCGGAAUUGGGUUUUCUUUGUCCUUUGGAUUUUUUAUGUGACCUAAAAUUGCUACUUUAUGCUUCUCAGACGUACAUAAAGAAUAUUUUUUUUUUUUAUCCUUCUUGAUUUUCCAUAUUUUUAUUAUGUUUAAUCUUGUUAUUUUGUUGU
rnacentral:misc_RNA from 1 species